AUGCUUACCCGGCAGCUGAGAUGCCAUGGUCUAGAAGGUGGUUUUCCCAAGGUGAAGCUUAUAAAUUGUAUUCCAGGUAUGUUAAGCCCUGCAACUUCCCCAAACACAGAACAUCCCACUGCAUAAUUUGUGGUCCUGGGGACUUGUGUUCAUGCGUUUCUCUC
ensembl:snRNA U1 U1 spliceosomal RNA